rnacentral:rRNA from 1 species
AGGGAAUCUUCCGCAAUGGACGAAAGUCUGACGGAGCAACGCCGCGUGAGUGAUGAAGGUUUUCGGAUCGUAAAGCUCUGUUGCCAGGGAAGAACGUCCUGUAGAGUAACUGCUACAGGAGUGACGGUACCUGAGAAGAAAGCCCCGGCUAACUACGUGCCAGCAGCCGCGGUAAUACGUAGGGGGCAAGCGUUGUCCGGAAUUAUUGGGCGUAAAGCGCGCGCAGGCGGCUGUUUAAGUCUGGUGUUUAAUCCUGGGGCUCAACCCCAGGUCGCACUGGAAACUGGGCAGCUUGAGUGCAGAAGAGGAGAGUGGAAUUCCACGUGUAGCGGUGAAAUGCGUAGAGAUGUGGAGGAACACCAGUGGCGAAGGCGACUCUCUGGGCUGUAACUGACGCUGAGGCGCGAAAGCGUGGGGAGCAAAC